AACGCACAUUGCGCCCUUUGGCAUUCCGAAGGGCAUGCCUGUUCGAGCGUCAUUACACCCCUCAAACCUAGCUGUUUGAUGUUGGGCACUGCCUGAAGGCAUGCCUAAAAUUUAGCGAUGGUCCUCCGAACCUCAAGCGCACAGAUGCCGCUAUGCAGGGGAGAUAGGGUCAGUCUUUAACUAAAUUUCUGAACGUUGACCUCGGAUCAGGUAGGGAUACCCGCUGAACUUAA
rnacentral:misc_RNA from 1 species